AUGAGAAAUAGGAAGAGUCAUUAAUCGACUUUUUUUAUCUUCCCUAUUUUCAUAUUUAUUUUCCUCCCAUUAAUAUUUUAUGCUAAGUGCUCAAAAUGCGACUCUUUUUUUUUCAUGGCACAAGAGAACGACGGUCGACCAGAGGAUAGAAGUGUUAAAUCAAAUAAAAAAAAUAGCAAGACACCUCUCCUUCCGAAAUAGAUCCUUUUUUUUAUUUUAGCAACUCCUCUAUACCUCUUUUUUUAUAGGAGCAGUGAAUAGUGGGCCUUUAUAUCUUUUGUUUUUUCUCUCUCCUGAACUACUUCCUUGAAUUAAAAGUGAAACCGAUAACCAAGACUGUAAACAAAAUCCAAGGUAAACAACGAGGUGUACAGAAACAAACAAACAAACAAAGGUAUUGGGAGCAGCGUUUAGCGGACUUAAUUGUUGUUGCUUCUUUUCUUUUUUUUCUUUUCUUUUUUGCCCUUGAGCUGCCUCCCUUGAUGUAGAGGAAAAGGUGAGAAAUAAAAUAGAAAACUCAGACAAACGAAAACUGAAAUCACAGCAAAGAAAACCAAUAUCCUAAAACGUAAACAACAUUCAGGGUAAACAAAAGCGAUGUGUAAACAAUAGCCAAGGUAAACAAACUCGGGGUAGUGUAAACAAUAGCAAGGGUAAAAAAAUAACUCGAGGUACUGCAAACAAUAGCCAGAGUAAACAAAGGCCAGGUGUAAACAAUAUCCAAGGUAAAAAAAACUCAAGGUACAAACAAUAUCCAAGGUAAACAAAAGCAAGGUGCAAACAGUAUCCAAGGUAAACAAACUCGAGGUACUGCAAACAAUAGAGUAAAUAAAGGCCAGGUGUAAACAAUAUCCAAAGUAAACAAACUCGAGGUACUGCAAACAAUAGAGUAAGUAAAGGCCAGGUGUAAACAAUAUCCAAAGUAAACAAACUCAAGGUACUGCAAACAAUAGAGUAAAUAAAGGCCAGGUGUAAACAAUAUCCAAAGUAAACAAACUCGAGGUACUGCAAACAAUAGAGUAAAUAAAGGCCAGGUGUAAACAAAAUCCAAGGUAAACAAACUCGAGGUACUGCAAACAAUAGAGUAAAUAAAGGCCAGGUGUAAACAAAAUCCAAGGUAAACAAACUCGAGGUACUGCAAACAAUAGAGUAAAUAAAGGCCAGGUGUAAACAAAAUCCAAGGUAAACAAACUCGAGGUACUGCAAACAAUAGAGUAAAUAAAGGCCAGGUGUAAACAAAAUCCAAGGUAAACAAACUCGAGGUACUGCAAACAAUAGAGUAAGUAAAGGCCAGGUGUAAACAAAAUCCAAGGUAAACAAACUCGAGGCACUGUAAACAAUAGCCAACGCAAAGAAAGGCGAGGUCCUGUAAACAAUAGCCACGGUAAACAAAGGCCAGGUGCAAACAAACAGGCCCAGGGAGGCUUCGUAACAAUGGUGCAUUAACGGAUGAAUAGCAUUAGACGCGCAAUUACCCGGCCCAGGCACGCAAAUGAGGAACACGCCGCGCACCUUGCAUAAUUAUGAGGCACAGGUAUGAUGGGUGCUCUCUCUCUCUCUCUCUCUCUCUCUCUCUCUCUCUCUCUCUCUCUCUCUCUCUCUCUCUCUCACGCACACACACACACACAAACCUCAUAAUUAUAUAAACACAUCAGAAAGAGUGAAAGUUCGGAUCUCGGAGUCUGCGAAAACGUAAUUAGAAAGGGAACGUGUGUGUGUGUGUGUGUGUGUGUGUGUGUGUGUGUGUGUGUGUGUGUGUCUGCACGUCCAUUCCCCUUUUAAAAGUCCAGAAUAUUGCGGAAUAAACAUUUUUUGCUCUAUUUUUCAGUCCCCGUUGCCGCCAGCCUGCCAGUCACGGGAAAAGGAUUCUAGGGCACCACAGAAACACACACACACACACACACACACACACACACACACACACACACACACACAAAUACACACACACACACACACACACACACACACACACACACACACACACACACAUAAAGAAUGCUGAGACGUGCCGUGCUUGGUGUGAGUGAAAUGCAGAUGAAGAGGAGGAAGAAAAGAAGGGAGGGAGGAAGGAAGGAAGGAAGGAGGGAAGGAGAGAAGGUGGGUGCAACUCUCACAUUAGACGAUAUUUGUGUUAGGUAAUGCUGUGUUGAGUUGUUUUGUGUUGUGUCGUGUUCCAUUGCGUUGCUGUGUUCCGAUGAGUCGCGUUGUGCUGCGUCACGUUGCGUUGCGUUUAUUGAGGUGUUGGCCAAGAGGUUUCACUGCGGUUUGUAUCGUUAAAAGAGCAGAUGAGGUCGAAUUCUCACUGUCUUUUUCUCCAAUAACAUCCCCACACAUUUCGAGUCCCUUGGGAAGAAAAUAUAAUGGUGUGCUCCUUAUCAAACAUUUACGUCAGCAAAAUGAAGUAAAUUCUCGGUAACAUCUGAAUACCAGGAAAGGCAACAACUUUCACACACAUCAAAAACUCAAUAAUGGCCAAAAAGAGCAAACAAAGAACAAAACACAGACCUGGGACUCGAAAAACACGUCACAGAUGGAGAAAAAAAACACGAAAUAAACAGUAGCCUUUAUCUUUUAUUCAGAUGUAGACAGCACGUUCCCUUCCCAUGCACUCCCCGACCCCUUUCAUCCCCCGCCCGCCACCUGUCGCCUUGCCCCGCUGUUGCUUAUGGCGUCACGGGUGUCGCUCGUCAGGGGGGAGGACAAGAGAACGGGAAGAUGGUGGGUUCGGGAAAGCAUUAACGGGUGGUAUAACAGACGAACAACCAAAGUAACAGAGUGGUAACCUCGGCAUUGUAAAGUCAAAGCCGACAGACGGAGUGGAAUGAUUGAAUUAGAUGGCGCCACUAUAAACAUUCGCCUGCGCCACAACGGGCUGGGCCGACCAUCAGACCCCACCAGUGAAAACGCUUAACGGCGCAAUAGGCCGCGACGUAAAAAAAAAAAAAUUGGCGUAGCAGGAUGGAGUGCAGAGAUAUCAAACAGAGGUGGAGAAAGCUGGAGAAGUCCUUUGUCUUGCACUGUACCUAUAAUGGCUGGCGGUGCUUAGGGGAUGGGACGCGA